rnacentral:lncRNA from 1 species
GUAAGACCAUCGCGUUCCCCAUUAUUGAUUUCUUUUCACUUGAUUAUAGCGACUCUCUUCAGCUGUUUAUUACAAUAGAGAGCAUAACUCAUAGACUGCAUUUGUCCUAAACUAAAAAGAAGUGCAAGGAAGCGGAAUGAGCAAGAAGAUGUGUGUGAGGGACUUCUGGGCUCCAGCUGCUCUGCUGUGUGCCCCAGUCAAGCCAAGCAGAUUCGGACCUCUGAGGGCUUGUACCCCAGUAGAUGUGUCUGCGAAUCCCCACACUUCAGGCAGCGACGUGGAGUCACAUGACGGCUGAGCAGGUAGAGAAGGGAGCCAUUGAUGUGUUGAGUGCAUGAUGGAGACUGGGAACUGUUUUUGUUUGUUUACCUUUUCCUUUUUUCUUUCCUUGUGUUUCUCCCUUUCACCCAUAAAUCCAGCCCACACUUCCCGAGUAUUACUGUGCAUCUGAGGAUGGAAAAUCCCAGGUGGAUAAGGCUGCCUACCGCCCCAGAUUUUAGCCUAAUGGGAGAGGGAUGGACCAGGAGAGGGC